CAAAAGGCUCUUUUCAGAGCCACCUGCAUUUUCCUCCAAAAUAGCU
rfam:Sarcophilus harrisii ctg7180002251818, whole genome shotgun sequence.